rnacentral:rRNA from 1 species
GCGGUGGCGGGCGUGCUAUACUGCGGUCGAACGCACAGCGAAAGGUGCUUGCACCUUUCAAGUGAGUGGCGAACGGGUGAGUAACACGUGGACAACCUGCCUCAAGGCUGGGGAUAACAUUUGGAAACAGAUGCUAAUACCGAAUAAAACUUAGUGUCGCAUGACACAAAGUUAAAAGGCGCUUCGGCGUCACCUAGAGAUGGAUCCGCGGUGCAUUAGUUAGUUGGUGGGGUAAAGGCCUACCAAGACAAUGAUGCAUAGCCGAGUUGAGAGACUGAUCGGCCACAUUGGGACUGAGACACGGCCCAAACUCCUACGGGAGGCUGCAGUAGGGAAUCUUCCACAAUGGGCGAAAGCCUGAUGGAGCAACGCCGCGUGUGUGAUGAAGGCUUUCGGGUCGUAAAGCACUGUUGUAUGGGAAGAACAGCUAGAAUAGGAAAUGAUUUUAGUUUGACGGUACCAUACCAGAAAGGGACGGCUAAAUACGUGCCAGCAGCCGCGGUAAUACGUAUGUCCCGAGCGUUAUCCGGAUUUAUUGGGCGUAAAGCGAGCGCAGACGGUUUAUUAAGUCUGAUGUGAAAGCCCGGAGCUCAACUCCGGAAUGGCAUUGGAAACUGGUUAACUUGAGUGCAGUAGAGGUAAGUGGAACUCCAUGUGUAGCGGUGGAAUGCGUAGAUAUAUGGAAGAACACCAGUGGCGAAGGCGGCUUACUGGACUGCAACUGACGUUGAGGCUCGAAAGUGUGGGUAGCAAACAGGAUUAGAUACCCUGGUAGUCCACACCGUAAACGAUGAACACUAGGUGUUAGGAGGUUUCCGCCUCUUAGUGCCGAAGCUAACGCAUUAAGUGUUCCGCCUGGGGAGUACGACCGCAAGGUUGAAACUCAAAGGAAUUGACGGGGACCCGCACAAGCGGUGGAGCAUGUGGUUUAAUUCGAAGCAACGCGAAGAACCUUACCAGGUCUUGACAUCCUUUGAAGCUUUUAGAGAUAGAAGUGUUCUCUUCGGAGACAAAGUGACAGGUGGUGCAUGGUCGUCGUC